GACGAACGCUGGCGGCGUGCCUAAUACAUGCAAGUCGAGCGGACGAAUCGAAAGCUUGCUUUUGAUUCGUUAGCGGCGGACGGGUGAGUAACACGUGGGCAACCUGCCCUGUAGACGGGGAUAACACCGAGAAAUCGGUGCUAAUACCGGAUAACACGAAAUGUCGCAUGACGUUUCGUUGAAAGACGGCGCAAGCUGUCGCUACAGGAUGGGCCCGCGGCGCAUUAGCUAGUUGGUGAGGUAACGGCUCACCAAGGCGACGAUGCGUAGCCGACCUGAGAGGGUGAUCGGCCACACUGGGACUGAGACACGGCCCAGACUCCUACGGGAGGCAGCAGUAGGGAAUCUUCCGCAAUGGACGAAAGUCUGACGGAGCAACGCCGCGUGAGCGAAGAAGGCCUUCGGGUCGUAAAGCUCUGUUGUUAGGGAAGAACAAGUAACGCACUAACUGGCGUUACCGUGACGGUACCUAACGAGAAAGCCACGGCUAACUACGUG
rnacentral:rRNA from 1 species